GACGAACGCUGGCGGCGUGCUUAACACAUGCAAGUCGAACGGAAAGGCCUCUUUCGGGGGGUACUCGAGUGGCGAACGGGUGAGUAACACGUGAGUAACCUGCCCUUGACUUUGGGAUAACUUCAGGAAACUGGGGCUAAUACCGGAUAGGAGCUCCUGCUGCAUGGUGGGGGUUGGAAAGUUUCGGCGGUUGGGGAUGGACUCGCGGCUUAUCAGCUUGUUGGUGGGGUAGUGGCUUACCAAGGCUUUGACGGGUAGCCGGCCUGAGAGGGUGACCGGCCACAUUGGGACUGAGAUACGGCCCAGACUCCUACGGGAGGCAGCAGUGGGGAAUAUUGCACAAUGGGUGGAAGCCUGAUGCAGCAGCGCCGUGUGCGGGAUGACGGCCUUCGGGUUGUAAACCGCUUGCGCUCAUGACGAAGCUUUGUGUGACGGUAGUGGGUAAAGAAGCCCCGGCUAACUACGUG
rnacentral:rRNA from 1 species